UACGUAGGGUGCGAGCGUUGUCCGGAAUUACUGGGCGUAAAGAGCUCGUAGGUGGUUUGUCGCGUUGUUCGUGAAAUCUCACGGCUUAACUGUGAGCGUGCGGGCGAUACGGGCAGACUAGAGUACUGCAGGGGAGACUGGAAUUCCUGGUGUAGCGGUGGAAUGCGCAGAUAUCAGGAGGAACACCGGUGGCGAAGGCAGGUCUCUGGGCCACUACUGACGCUGAGAAGCGAAAGCAUGGGGAGCGAACAGG
rnacentral:rRNA from 1 species